UACGGAGGGUGCAAGCGUUGUUCGGAUUCAUUGGGCGUAAAGGGUGCGUAGGUGGCGUCGUAAGUCGGGUGUGAAAUUUCGGAGCUCAACUCCGAAACUGCAUUCGAUACUGCGGUGCUUGAGGACUGGAGAGGAGACUGGAAUUUACGGUGUAGCAGUGAAAUGCGUAGAGAUCGUAAGGAAGACCAGUGGCGAAGGCGGGUCUCUGGACAGUUCCUGACGCUGAGGCACGAAGGCCAGGGGAGCAAACGGG
rnacentral:rRNA from 1 species